rnacentral:rRNA from 1 species
CCUACGGGCGGCAGCAGUGGGGAAUCUUGCACAAUGGGCGAAACCCUGAUGCAGCCAUGCCGCGUGUGUGAAGAAGGCCUUCGGGUUGUAAAGAACUUUCAGUAGGGAGGAAGGUAGUGUAGUUAAAACCUGCAUUAUUUGACGUUACCUACAGAAGAAGCACCGGCUAACUCCGUGCCAGCAGCCGCGGUAAUACGGAGGGUGCGAGCGUUAAUCGGAAUUACUGGGCGUAAAGCGCAUGCAGGCGGUUUGUUAAGUCAGAUGUGAAAGCCCGGGGCUUAACCUCGGAAUGGCAUUUGAAACUGGCAGGCUAGAGUCUUGUAGAGGGGGGUAGAAUUUCAGGUGUAGCGGUGAAAUGCGUAGAUAUAGGACGGAACACUGGCCGCCACUUCGCCCCCCCGGACCGAUACCGACCCCCAGAGGCGCACGCGGAGGGCGCGGGGAGGAUUAAAUCCCCUCGUAGUC